UCUCAUUCUUCUUUCACACGCUUGCUUUUUACUCAUCCACAAACCCUAGAAAAACAAAGCUGCAACUCUCUCUCUCCCUCUUACCGCCACCGCCAAGAUCCUCCAUCAGUUCUACAAGAUCACAAGAUAACGACGUUUCCUUCUGAUUGAAGCAUCUACGAUCCAGACAAUACAAUCCAUCUGAAACCCUAAAUCAAGCGACACCGCCACCACAAUCAUUCGGUUCUUAAUCAACCUCAAAAGACGCCAUUUCAUCUCUGCGCUGGAUUCCCAAUUGUUUUUCAUCGAUCCAUUGAGGCUGAAGACUCUGUUAUAGGCGCAGACCAUAAAAAAAUUAAAUGGCGCGUGGGAGAAGAAGACUGUUCUACCAGAUGUGAAGAAGGAAGACAUUGUUUAUACAUUCAGAUGUGAAAUAACUUUUCAUGUAUAGAGUUCGCAAUAUUCAUGUUUAUCUUUCUUUUGUUAACCAGUUUGGCGAUAUUUGUUAAAUCUAUUCAUUUGUGGGAGUUUUGCAUGUGCCUUUUCACCACUGAUCCCGUAGAUUCGAGGUCACAACUGAUGUGGCUUUGUUAAUCGUUGAUGAUGGUGGUUGUGAUGAUGGUGGUUGUUAUGGUAGAUGCCGGUGGCGAGACGGUGGUCAAGCGGCUAUGGUUCCGAUCUACUUCCGACACAUUUCUGAUGUGCGUUGUUUUCUGGUUGUGGGUGUCAAGGAAGAUAUAGAUACUAUUGAUAGAAUGAUUGCUGAUGGUGAGUCACAGUAUGAUAAGUGGCGCCACCAUGAUCCCUACAUCGUUCCAUGGGCUCCCGGUGGCAGCAAGUUUACUCGCAACCCUACGCCACCUCCUGGGAGAUCGAGAUAGUUUAUGAUUAUGGUCGAGAGGAUCAUUAGCUGCAAGUAAUUCGGGCUCCAUGACAACACCUCAAGGUAAUUUGAUUGAUGAAGCUGAAGAUGAGUUGGAACCUGGAGUUUGACGAAGAACAGUCACAAGAUGAAGAAUUAACUAAAGACGUAGUUUCUAAGAAAAGGAAAGCCUCCACACAUCUUCCGAACUUAAAAGGCGUCUUGGAAGCAAAGUUGGGAUCCAGGUGGGACUGCUAAUGUUUAUAAAUGGAGUAGGAUUGCUGAUCCGAAAGUGAAUUGCUUCGCUUGGCGUGUCUCGAGCGGUAGCAUCCCUACGGCUAUCGUUUGUUAGGAAUGUGGCUUAAGGAUUAAAAUUUGAUUGAUGAAGCUGAAGAUGAGUUGGAACCUGGAGUUUUACGAAGAACAGUCAUAAGAGGAAGAAUUACCUAAAGACGUAGUUUCUAAGAAAAUGAGAACCUCCACACAUCUUCCGAACUUAAACAACGUUUUGGGGAUCGAUAAAGUAAGAUUAUGCAGCAAUUAAUCCUCUAGUGGUUUUCAAGAGUGUAUGAUGGGCAUCACACGUGAAUUCGUUGUUUAUGGAGUGUAUGAGGGGCAUCACACGUAUUAUGAAGCAGAUGACAAAUCAAUGUUUUGGGGAUUGAUAAAGGAAGAUUAUGCAGCAGUUAAUCCUCCCAGCGGUUUUCAAGGUACAUCUUCUGGUUAGAGGUACACAAAACGGGUCCGGGUAUGGUCAAUGCGGGUCAAAACCAGUUGUGCUGAACCACAUAUAUGUGGGACAUUAGUGCGAUGCCGCAACUACUAGAAUAUAUAAAACCAUUCUACGAAAUUAUAUUGAAUGUGCUGAAUUCAACAGACAAGGAGUAACUGAUCUUACCGAGGCUUCAAAAAAAGUUGUUUUGACAAACCGGCGCACUCUCAUUUUCAAUUGCAUAUUCAGCUCCAGAGAGAGAUUUGAGGCUCGGAUUCCUCUUUCCGGUUAUCGGAUCUCUGCCGUGAGCCGGCCCCAUGGUGUCUUCCAGACCCCCCGGGUAGCGUGGCUCGGUGGUAAGGUGGGUCGGGUACAAUCGGGUGCAAUUGAUGAUAGGAAACGGAUCUUUUUACAAUCCUGAAAAGAUUAUUGGGGUUGGUUGUUGUGAGAAAUCAUAUUGAAUCUGCAUAUAACUUCAUGUAUUUUAUUUUUGUGAGAACCGUAGACUUCUAAAACUUAGUGAAGAAGUCUUUUUUAUUCAAGUUUAGGGACUUAUUCAUGAAAAAAUACUUUUUCAUUUAUAUUUUGAUAUGUACAGGGACUUUGUCUCCCAAAUAGAACUUUAUAUUAGUAACAAAGUGUGAGGACUUUAUUGUCGAGUAA